UCAGUGAUAGCAACAUCUCUAGCGGUUCCCGGAAAUUCUUUCAAUUAUUCAUCCGACUGCUCCGAUAGAAUUCCCAAACGUCAGAGAGACGGAGAAGAGAUUGAAACCUCCACUUGUACUGUCUUCAUACGAUUCCUUUUUCUCCCUCCACGAAUAUUAUCUCGCAAAUCCCAACGGUGGAAGCGUGCGGAAUUGAAUUUCGAACAACAUAUCCAAAUUUCACAAUAAUCCAACGGUUAACGAAACCGGGAUCGUAGUUUUACCAAGACAGCUCUGAAUUUCUGCGGGAAAGAAAAAGGCUACAAUGCGAAGGGUUUUUCUCUCAUUUCAGACAUGAUAUCGAAAUUCCCAACGGUGAGAAUGCUCGGAAUUGUGUUGCGAACAUGAUACUCAAAUUUCACGACGAUCCAACGGUGAACGGAUUCGAGAUCGUCGUUUUUCUGAUACUGGUUUGGUGGGCUGCGGGAAAAAGUAAGGGUUUUGAGAGGAGAAGGGGAAAAACG
rnacentral:lncRNA from 1 species